rnacentral:tRNA from 1 species
CGGGCUGUGGCGCAGUCUGGUAGCGCAUCUGUCUCGGGGUCAGAGGGUCGCAAGUUCGAAUCUUGCCAGCCCGACCA